CUUCAUCUUCGUAGACAGAAGUAACAACGAAGGUGAAACCGCCAGACUUAGAUCCCCAAAUUUUCCUGCCGGACAAUAUUGUUUUGAGUUCUAUUACUUCAUAUGGAGCGCUAACGGGGAUUUUUCGGAAUUGUCACUGCAAAUGUUCUCAUCCCAAUCAGCAAGAACGACCAUCUUUUGUACCCCGACGUCGCCUUUAAAGACGUGGCACAAUGUCCGGACCAAUGUACGGGCAGAUAGACUCACGGAAGGUGAAUUCCAUUUCGUCUUUGAGGCCAGGAUGGGAAAAGGGUCCGCCAGCGAUAUCGCACUUGACUAUAUUCGCAUAACAACUGGACUUUGUUCAAACCAGGUCGGGGUCAUGCUGUCCCCUUUCAGCCCAAGAUGUUGGACAAAUGGAUAUCGACCUUUUAGGUUUAGGACCUCGGGUUAGACGGUAGACUAUAUGAAACAUUCUGGAGUGUCAUGUUGGACAUUGUCUUGUUUGAAAACAAGUUUAAUACAGUUGAAUAGUUGAAUACAUUACUUGUAAUUUGUUGGUUAUACUUGAAUUGUAAUAUGCGAAACUAAUCGAUUUUAUUUUGCACUUCUGUUUAUAGCCAAUGGGUUUCAAACAAUAUUCUACACGCACUUAAAAUAUUAAGAAAUAACAAUGUGAAAAGUUCGAAUAUUUAUUCAGUAUCAUCGUUAAAUUAUGAUUUAAAAAUAGUCUUAUAUAAUAUUUUUGUUGUGAAAACUGACACGAUUGAGGAAUACAUAGUUUAUAGAAACUUCAUGAGAACAAUGAAAUUGUCAUAUUGUCUACUCUCAUAAGAGAACUCUACACACAAACAUGAGGGGUAUAGACCCUCUUGUUUACUUUAAAUAUUUAAAUAGUAAAUCACUGAUUCAAACUCUUGAAUGUUGUACAAUGAACUCACAAUAAAACGUCAUACCUUU